rnacentral:tRNA from 1 species
AUUUAUUUAGUAUAAAAGUACAUUUAACUUCCAAUUAAAAAGCCUACAAAAUAGAAUAAAUA